CCCUUCAAAUAGAACAUUAAAGAUCACAUACUUGUUUACUUCCUCAAACUCUUUGCUUUUUGUUCUCUUCCUAGGAACAAAUUUAAUACAAAUAAUCAGUAAAUCGAGCAAGCUCAUUUUGUUAGAGGUGUAAUGUAUGCCAGGCCUGUAUCCUUCGUAUCCAGGCUGAGGUAGAGUAACCUGCCACACCAAUUUUAGGUGCAUAAGGUUGAUGUAUAGUGGCUUCUCACUGGAGGCAAAGACUCAGUUUCUUCCAGACGUUAAAAGUACGACUACGAUCAAGAACAUCUGAACAAAAACCUCGCAUCAAACUCGAGAGAUCAGCUGUGAAAAAGAGAUAAU